rnacentral:rRNA from 1 species
UUGGAGGGCAAGUCUGGUGCCAGCAGCCGCGGUAAUUCCAGCUCCAAUAGCGUAUAUUAAAGUUGUUGCAGUUAAAAAGCUCGUAGUUGAAUUUCGGGAUCAAUACGUCGGUCGUGCUUCGGUACGUACUGGCGUCAUCGAUUUCUCCCUUCUGACGAACCAUGAUGUCAUUAACUUGGUGUCAUGGGAAAUCAGGACUGUUACUUUGAAAAAAUUAGAGUGUUUAAAGCAGGCUCACGCUUGAAUACAUUAGCAUGGAAUAA